rnacentral:rRNA from 1 species
GUGGGGAAUCUUGCGCAAUGGGCGAAAGCCUGACGCAGCCAUGCCGCGUGAAUGAUGAAGGUCUUAGGAUUGUAAAAUUCUUUCACCGGGGACGAUAAUGACGGUACCCGGAGAAGAAGCCCCGGCUAACUUCGUGCCAGCAGCCGCGGUAAUACGAAGGGGGCUAGCGUUGCUCGGAAUUACUGGGCGUAAAGGGCGCGUAGGCGGACAGUUCAGUCAGCGGUGAAAGCCCAGGGCUCAACCUUGGAAUUGCCUUUGAGACUGGCUGUCUUGAGUACGGGAGAGGUGAGUGGAACUACGAGUGUAGAGGUGAAAUUCGUAGAUAUUCGGAAGAACACCAGUGGCGAAGGCGACUCACUGGCCCGUUACUGACGCUGAGGCGCGAAAGCGUGGGGAGCAAACAGGAUUAGAUACCCUUGUAGUCC